rnacentral:rRNA from 1 species
UACGGAGGGCGCCAGCGGUGUUCGGAAUCACUGGGCGUAAAGCGCGUGUAGGCGGCUUGGCAAGUCGGGUGUGAAAUCCCGAGGCUCAACCUCGGAACUGCACUCGAAACUGCCUCGCUCGAGUCCCGGAGAGGGUGGCGGAAUUCCCGGUGUAGGGGUGAAAUCCGUAGAUAUCGGGAGGAACACCAGUGGCGAAGGCGGCCACCUGGACGGUGACUGACGCUGAGACGCGAAAGCGUGGGGAGCAAACAGG